UAUCAAUAUAUGAAAUGAAACACCAUUAACCAACAACAUAUACUUAUAGAUCCAAAUACAUAAACUAAAAUAAAACCCUUAUUAUGAGAGUGAUCUCACCAUAUUCACAUUCAUAUAAAAUUGACAACCGAAACAAUAGAUGAGAACUUACUUAAGUUUUUAUUAAAAAGCUACUAAAUAAAAUCAACAACCUCCUCCACCACCGCCGCCGCAACCUCCUCCACCCCCGCCGCCGCCGCAGGCGGAGGCACCGCCGCCAGCGCUGGCGGCGGCGGCGGCGCCGAUGCCACCGAAUCCACCGCCGCUUGUUCGUUGAGGCUUGUCGUCGUCGUCGCAGUCAGCACAAGCAGUGAUAAGCAGAGACAAAAGUGAAACGGAUACAAGAAGCAUGCCUAGCACGUAGAUGAGCCCUGCACCCUCAAAUACUCCAUUUUCAAAUUCAACACCUACGUUUCUCACCAUUUUUUUUUAUCCUGCAAAAUGAAGAGGAUAACUCACACUCACACAGGCUUUUAUUAUAGAUGGUUGCAUUUAUUUGAAUCCUAUGUAUUUUUUUUAACUUGGUUCUGAUUCACUGAACGAUCUUUUUCGCUGAUACGUGGUACAAACGUACAAGUCACGUAGACGAG
rnacentral:lncRNA from 1 species